GUAGUUCGCCCGCCAGCAAUGGCGGGCGCGGAUUGAAAC
rfam:Rhodoferax antarcticus ANT.BR grfa_new.contig.8_1, whole genome shotgun sequence.